UACGAAGGGAGCUAGCGUUGUUCGGAAUCACUGGGCGUAAAGCGCACGUAGGCGGAUAUGUCAGUCAGGGGUGAAAUCCCGGAGCUCAACUUCGGAACUGCCUUUGAUACAGCAUAUCUCGAGUCCGAGAGAGGUGAGUGGAAUUCCUAGUGUAGAGGUGAAAUUCGUAGAUAUUAGGAAGAACACCGGUGGCGAAGGCGGCUCACUGGCUCGGUACUGACGCUGAGGUGCGAAAGCGUGGGGAGCAAACAGG
rnacentral:rRNA from 2 species